rnacentral:rRNA from 1 species
GAUGAACGCUGGCGGCGUGCCUAAUACAUGCAAGUCGAGCGAACAGACGAGGAGCUUGCUCCUUUGACGUUAGCGGCGGACGGGUGAGUAACACGUAGGUAACCUACCUAUAAGACUGGGAUAACUUCGGGAAACCGGAGCUAAUACCGGAUAAUAUUUCGAACCGCAUGGUUCGAUAGUGAAAGAUGGCUUUGCUAUCACUUAUAGAUGGACCUGCGCCGUAUUAGCUAGUUGGUAAGGUAACGGCUUACCAAGGCAACGAUACGUAGCCGACCUGAGAGGGUGAUCGGCCACAAUGGAACUGAGACACGGUCCAGACUCCUACGGGAGGCAGCAGUAGGGAAUCUUCCGCAAUGGGCGAAAGCCUGACGGAGCAAAGCCGCGUGAGUGAUGAAGGUCUUCGGAUCGUAAAACUCUGUUAUUAGGGAAGAACAAACGUGUAAGUAACUGUGCACGUCUUGACGGUACCUAAUCAGAAAGCCACGGCUAACUACGUG